AUUGAACGCUGGCGGCAGGCUUAACACAUGCAAGUCGAGCGGAGCGAGGGUGCUUGCACCUUAGCUUAGCGGCGGACGGGUGAGUAAUGCUUAGGAAUCUGCCUAUUAGUGGGGGACAACAUUCCGAAAGGAAUGCUAAUACCGCAUACGCCCUACGGGGGAAAGCAGGGGAUCUUCGGACCUUGCGCUAAUAGAUGAGCCUAAGUCGGAUUAGAUAGUUGGUGGGGUAAAGGCCUACCAGGGCGAAGAUCUGUAGCGGGUCUGAGAGGAUGAUCCGCCGAACUGGGGCUGAGACACGGCCCAGACUCCUACGGGAGGCAGCAGUGGGGAAUAUUGGACAAUGGGCGGAAGCCUGAUCCAGCCAUGCCGCGUGUGUGAAGAAGGCCUUUUGGUUGUAAAGCACUUUAAGCGAGGAGGAGGCUACUUAGAUUAAUACUCUGGGAUAGUGGACGUUACUCGCAGAAUAAGCACCGGCUAACUCUGUGCCAGCAGCCGCCGUAA
rnacentral:rRNA from 1 species